CUUUCAACCGCUCAGCCAGAGUUUGCUUUCUUAUUUUGCUAUUGAGGUUCUUAUCCUGUCUCCUUCUUGUAGUAGCUUGGCAUCUGCUAUCCCUUCACCUGGUUUGCUGCUAUCAAUUCUUCCACCUGCCCUCUAUAUUGCUGUCACUAACGAAGUGUCCAGCCAGCGCAUUGACACAAAAGUCCAACUUGCGUUCAACUCGAAAUCGCCAAAGAUCUUCUCUGGUGCGACCAGUCGGUUCAUCUUGGCAGCUUUUUUCACGAUGGCCUCUGCCUCCAUCACUCGGCCCUGAGACAGCAGCCACAUGGGAGACUCUGGGAGGACCCUGUCACACACACGAGCAAUGGGGGGAUGUAGAAGAGGCCAGGCAGCCCAAUGGCCAGCAACAGAGUCUUCCAGCUCCGGAGGAAGUAGGCGAAGAGCGGCAGCAUCAUGUAGCCCAAGGUGAAGCCCAGAGAUGCAGCAGCCGAUGAGUAAAUCACCCGAGCGUUGCCCGUGAGGAUUUCUGUGCCU